GAUGAACGCUAGCGGCAGGCCUAACACAUGCAAGUCGAGGGGUAUAGAGAGCUUGCUUUCUAGAGACCGGCGCACGGGUGAGUAACGCGUAUGCAACCUACCUUUUACAGGGGAAUAGCCCGGAGAAAUUCGGAUUAAUGCCCCAUGGUUUAUUAGAAUGGCAUCAUUUUAAUAAUAAAGAUUUAUCGGUAAAAGAUGGGCAUGCGUAUCAUUAGCUAGUUGGUGUGGUAACGGCAUACCAAGGCGACGAUGAUUAGGGGUCCUGAGAGGGAGAUCCCCCACACUGGUACUGAGACACGGACCAGACUCCUACGGGAGGCAGCAGUGAGGAAUAUUGGUCAAUGGAGGCAACUCUGAACCAGCCAUGCCGCGUGCAGGAUGACGGUCCUAUGGAUUGUAAACUGCUUUUGUACGGGAAGAAAUGUUACUACGUGUAGUAAUUUGACGGUACCGUAAGAAUAAGGAUCGGCUAACUCCGUGCCAGCAGCCGCGGUAAUACGGAGGAUCCGAGCGUUAUCCGGAAUUAUUGGGUUUAAAGGGUUCGUAGGCGGUUGAGUAAGUCAGUGGUGAAAUCUUACAGCUUAACUGUAAAAUUGCCGUUGAUACUGCUUGACUUGAAUAGUAUGGAAGUAAUUAGAAUAUGUAGUGUAGCGGUGAAAUGCUUAGAUAUUACAUGGAAUACCAAUUGCGAAGGCAGAUUACUACGUACUUAUUGACGCUGAUGAACGAAAGCGUGGGUAGCGAACAGG
rnacentral:rRNA from 1 species